rnacentral:lncRNA from 1 species
ACAAAGCAACCCUCUCCACUCCUCCCACCUCAAAGGCCAACGCCUGGCAGAGCCCGGGAAGAACCUGGCAAGUAUUUAAAAACAUAAAUUAAAACUAAUUGCUUUUUUAUAUUGCAAAUAAGGGCAGUUUUAUUGUUUUUAUUGCAUAACAACCAUUAAUGAAGUGCAGUUUCAGGGCACCUUAAUUGCUUGGAGACUAAAGUUCAAUCCAUCGUUGCAGCGCGGGCUGGAGGACACCGUGUGUCAUGUGGGGACCAUUACCGACCGCUGUGCGCCGCUCCGUCCCGGUUUCUCCCGGCCUCGGUGCGCUCCGCGUUCUCAGCCCUCCCUUCACCGCGCACUGUUCCUCCCGUUGCCGUACGCGGCUCUCCGUUACCGCGCACCGCUCCCGCGCCGGCUGCCCGCCGCCCGCCGCCUUCCAUCUCCCGCACGCCGCUGCCGGGGCCGCGGUGGCGAUGUCCGCCUGGGGAGGGUUUGGGGAUGGG